AAAUAGGAAAAUUUUCCUAUGAAUUUGUGCAUAAAUGCGCAUUUAAGUUGUUGCAGUUAAAAAUCUCGUAGUUGGAUCUUGAGUCGUAAAGGUCAGUCCGCCUACUUGGUGUGCACCUGCCCUUCUGUCCCUUUGGUCAGUGGCGUGGUCCUAGCCUUAAUUGGCUGGGUCGUGGUUCCGACGUUGUUACUUUGAAAAAAAUAGAGUGCUCAAAGCAAGCUUAUGCUCUGAAUACAUUAGCAUGGAAUAAAGUGAUAGGAGUCUGGUCCUAUUGUGUUAUACUUCGAGACCAGAGUAAUGAUUAAUAGGGACUGUCAGGGGAAUUCGUAUUUCAUUGUUAGAGGUGAAAUUCUUGGAUUUAUGAAAGAUGAACCACUGCGAAAUCAUUUGCCAAGGAUGUUUUCAUUAAUCAAGAAUGAAACUUGGGGGCUCGAAGACGAUCAUAUACCAUCCUAGUCUCAACCAUAAACGAUGCCAACUAGGGAUCAAUGGAUGUUUCUCUAAGGACUCUGCCAGCACCUUGUGAGAAAUCAGAGUGUUUGGGUUUCGGGGGGAGUAUGGUCACAAGGAUUAAAGUUAAAGGAAUUGACAGAAGGGCACCGUUAGGAGUGGAUCCUGCGGCUUAAUUUGACUCAACACGGGAAAACUUACCAGGUCCAGACAUAGUAAGGAUUGACAGAUUGAGAGCUCUUUCUUGUUUCUAUGGGUGGUGGUACAUGGUCGUUAUUAGUUGGUGGAGUGAUUUGUCUGGUUAAUUUUGAUAAUGAACGAGACCUCAGCCCUCUAACUAGCUAGGUGGAGGUUCCCCUUCGCAACCAAUGUCUUAGAGGGACUAUGGUCGUUUAGGUCAUGGAAGUUUGAGGCAAUGAUAGGUCUGUGAUGCUGUUAAGGUCCUAACCCGCACAUAGGUAGAUUAAUGUAUUCGGAUGUAAUAAAGGUCAAUAUUAAUAAGACCUUUCAAUAAAAUAGAAUAAGGCGGAUGUAA
rnacentral:rRNA from 1 species